UACGAGGGGGGCAAGCGUUAAUCGGAAUUACUGGGCGUAAAGCGUGCGCAGGCGGUUUUGUAAGUCUGUCGUGAAAUCCCCGGGCUCAACCUGGGAAUUGCGAUGGAGACUGCAAGGCUAGAAUCUGGCAGAGGGGGGUAGAAUUCCACGUGUGAGCAGUGAAAUGCGUAGAGAUGUGGAGGAACACCGAUGGCGAAGGCAGCCCCCUGGGUCAAGAUUGACGCUCAUGCACGAAAGCGUGGGGAGCAAACGAGGAUACGAAACCGUGU
rnacentral:rRNA from 1 species